AAAGUAAAGGCUUUAUGCCAUUGUAAUUUAGGGCAGUUGGAACUCAUUGAAGAGGGCAGGAGGAACAGGACGGGGAGUAGUGAGGAGAUGGGAGAAGAAACAGAGACAGGGGAAGAGACAGAGACAAGCAAGGAGACAGGGACAGGAGAAUAGACUGGGACUGCGACAGAGAGAGACAAGGGAAAAAAUUUAAAAAAAAGCGAAGACAACACAAAGGAGGAGGGUAGGGUAAAGGUGGAAAACAUGGAAGAGGAGGGAUGGGCGGAAGCCAAGGAGGUAGAGGGGGAGGCCAAGGAGGAACAGGAAGAGCCCCUCGUCCAACAGAUUCAUCAUCAAGUGCUAAAACUAUCAAUUUUUUUAAUGU